rnacentral:rRNA from 1 species
GUCUAUGGCCAUACCACACUGAAAAGUCAAUCUUGUUUGAUCUCGGAAGCUAAGCAGGGUCAGGCCUGGUUAGUACUUGGAUGGGAAUAAUCAUAAGGGAAAAUAUACA